rnacentral:snRNA from 1 species
AGCUUUGCGCAGUGGCAGUAUCAUAGCCAAUCAGGUUGAUCCGAGGCGCGAUUAUUGCUAAUAGGAGAGGAGGGGCAGAGAUGCGCUCACCUGAGGGCUCUGUGAACGGGACCCGCAGUGGA